GGGUUUGGGGAGCCCUGAGGGAGGGACAGGAAUGGUUUGGCUCCAAACCCACCAGUACAUUGAUGUUCUCCUUCUGGUUGAGCAGCGACCGAACCUCCUCCACAUCUCGGUUGAAGAUGGCUUGGACCAGAGGGGGCUCCUCUCCGAGCUCUGCCUGGCAGUGACUCCUUCCCAGGCCUGAAAUAAGGGCACUUCCAACCCCAGGAACACAUCCUGGGUCAGGGCAAGGCUGUGUCAUCCCCCUGGAAUGCAGCAGCCUCGGCAUCAUUUGUUAAGGUACUUUAAAAAAAAUAUAAUUUAUUUUUUUUUUUAUUACAAAACAAGUAUUGAAGGAAAGGCUGGAAAACACUGAUGGUGCCCCAAAACGCUCCUGGCACACAGGAGAGGGGAGUGGUUGGGAUAUCCCAAAAAAUUAAGUUCUGUUUAAAUCAGAGGUUGA